UACAGAGGGUGCGAGCGUUGUUCGGAAUUAUUGGGCGUAAAGCGCUUGUAGGCGGCACGUCAAGUCGCGUGUGAAAUCCCCCAGGCUUAACCUGGGAAGUGCGCGCGAAACUGACGAGCUUGAGUGCCGGAGAGGGUCGCGGAAUUCCCGGUGUAGAGGUGAAAUUCGUAGAUAUCGGGGAGGAACACCAGUGGCGAAGGCGGCGACCUGGACGGACA
rnacentral:rRNA from 1 species